rnacentral:rRNA from 1 species
UGGGGAAUUUUGCACAAUGGGGGAAACCCUGAUGCAGCGACGCCGCGUGAUUUAGAAGGCCUUCGGGUUGUAAAAAUCUUUUCUAUGGGAAGAAAAUGACAGUACCAUAGGAAUAAGGACCGGCUAAUUACGUGCCAGCAGCCGCGGUAAUACGUAAGGUCCGAGCGUUGUCCGGAAUCAUUGGGCGUAAAGGGUACGUAGGCGGGUAAGCAAGUUAGAAGUGAAAUCCUAUAGCUCAACUAUAGUAAGCUUUUAAAACUGCUCAUCUUGAGGUAUGGAAGGGAAAGUGGAAUUCCUAGUGUAGCGGUGAAAUGCGCAGAUAUUAGGAGGGAUACCGGUGGCGGAGGCGACUUUCUGGCCAUAACCUGACGCUGAGGUACGAAAGCGUGGGUAGCAAACAGG